ACGCUGGCGGCAGGCUUAACACAUGCAAGUCGAACGGUAACAGGGAUUAGCUUGCUAAUCUGCUGACGAGUGGCGGACGGGUGAGUAAUGCUUGGGAAUCUGGCUUAUGGAGGGGGAUAACUACGGGAAACUGUAGCUAAUACCGCGUAAAAUCUUCGGAUUAAAGGGUGGGACUUUCGAGCCACCUGCCAUAAGAUGAGCCCAAGUGGGAUUAGGUAGUUGGUUAGGUAAAGGCUGACCAAGCCGACGAUCUCUAGCUGGUCUGAGAGGAUGACCAGCCACACUGGGACUGAGACACGGUCCAGACUCCUACGGGAGGCAGCAGUGGGGAAUAUUGCACAAUGGGGGGAACCCUGAUGCAGCCAUGCCGCGUGAAUGAAGAAGGCCUUCGGGUUGUAAAGUUCUUUCGGUGACGAGGAAGGUUGGUAGGUUAAUAGCCUAUCAAAUUGACGUUAAUCACAGAAGAAGCACCGGCUAACUCCGUGCCAGCAGCCGCGGUAAUACGGGGGGUGCGAGCGUUAAUCGGAAUAACUGGGCGCAAAGGGCACGCAGGCGGUGACUUAAGUGAGAUGUGAAAGCCCCGAGCUUAACUUGGGAAUUGCAUUUCAUACUGGGUCGCUAGAGUACUUUAGGGAGGGGUAGAAUUCCACGUGUAGCGGUGAAAUGCGUAGAGAUGUGGAGGAAUACCGAAGGCGAAGGCAGCCCCUUGGGAAUGUACUGUCGCUCAUGUGCGAAAGCGUGGGGAGCAAACAGGAUUAGAUACCCUGGUAGUCCACGCUGUAAACGAUGUCGAUUUGGGGAUUGGGCUUUGAGCUUGGUGCCCGUAGCUAACGUGAUAAAUCGACCGCCUGGGGAGUACGGCCGCAAGGUUAAAACUCAAAUGAAUUGACGGGGGCCCGCACAAGCGG
rnacentral:rRNA from 1 species